rnacentral:tRNA from 1 species
GACGCUCAGCGGUAAAGAAUCUGCCUGCAAUGCAGGAGACCCAGGUUCAAUCCCUGGGUCG